rnacentral:tRNA from 1 species
GGUGCUAUAGCCAAGUGGAGAUGUGGCAGACUACAAAUCUGUUCCCUUCAGCAGGCGUAGGCUGGAAACCUACUGGUGUCA